GCAAGAUUAAAACUCAAAGGAAUAGAUGGGGACCCGCACAAGCGGUGGAGCAUGUGGUUUAAUUCGACGAUACGCGAAGAACCUUACCUGGCCUUGACAUAGAAAGAACUUUCCAGAGACGGAUUGGUGCUAGUUUACUAGAGCUUUCAUACAGGUGCUGCACGGCUGUCGUCAGCUCGUGUCGUGAGAUGUUGGGUUAAGUCCCGCAACGAGCGCAACCCUCGUGUUUAGUUACUAACAGUUCGGCUGAGGACUCUAAACAGACUGCCUGGGUAACCAGGAGGAAGGUGAGGACGACGUCAAGUCAUCAUGGCCCUUACGGCCAGGGCUACACACGUGCUACAAUGGGGUAUACAAAGAGCUGCAAUACGGUGACGUGGAGCAAAUCUCAUAAAAUAUCUCCCAGUUCGGAUUGAAGUCUGCAACUCGACUUCAUGAAGUUGGAAUCGCUAGUAAUCGUAGAUCAGCAAUGCUACGGUGAAUACGUUCCCGGGUCUUGUACUCACCGCCCGUCACACCAUGGAAAUUGGAUUCAUUCGAAGCGGGGAUGCUAAAAUAGCUACCUUCCACAGUGGAUUUAGUAACUAGGGUGAAGUCGUAACAAGGUA
rnacentral:rRNA from 1 species